rnacentral:rRNA from 1 species
GACGAAGGUGGCAAGCGUUAUUCGGAUUUACUGGGCAUAAAGCGCGCGUAGGCGGCUUGGCAAGUCGGGGGGUGAAAGCCCGCAGCUCAACUGCGGAACUGCCUUCGAUACUGCCGGGCUUGAGGGCGGGAGGGGUGAUUGGAACUCCAGGUGUAGCGGUGAAAUGCGUAGAUAUCUGGAGGAACACCGGAGGCGAAGGCGAAUCACUGGACCGCUUCUGACGCUGAGGCGCGAAAGCUAGGGGAGCAAACGGGG